rnacentral:lncRNA from 1 species
ACGACGACGCCCCGCACAAGGUCCCUCCCUACCCGCCCCUGGUGUCCUUUCUCCUCCAUUCAUUCUUUCUCUGUCCCAUUCCCAAUUGAGUUUUUUUGCUUCGAUUCAGAUCAGCAGGAGCUCUCCGUCUCUCCAGUUCCAUGGACGGUGACGACCGGCACCCCACCCUCGAGCUCGAUAGUGAGAUCGUCCGCCCCGACCACCAUGAUUCCCCACAGAACAAGGUCGACCCUCUCGCUCUGUUUUUCUUUCCUUUCCAAGUGAUUAUUGCUCUUCUCUAGCAUAGUUCUCCAAGGGCUCUCACAUUUUCUUGUACUGAACCAUGAUGCAAAAAACGUGGCUACUUUGUUUUCGCACAUGCAAGUUACAGCCAACUAGCAUUGCGAGCAGCAGCAAUGUAGAAUUUCUGAGAUCUGCGAGUUAGUUAAAGCUGCUAGUUCAAUAAGUAAACGCCUAUGAGAUGCUCCUGUUGGUUCCUUGCUACUCUAUGCACGCAGCAAGGAUGUUAUUGCCAGUGGGGUAGGUGACGAUGCUAUCUGCUAUUUUGCCGAGGAGAAGAGUACCAUGGUAUCUUAUACUUCCACUAAACAUUCAAAUUCUGGCAACUCUUGAUUUAUCUCCAUGGAAUCUACUCCCUCCGUUCCGAAUUACUUGUCUUGAAUUUGUUUAGAUACGGAGGUAUCUAGCACUAAAAUGAGUCUAGAUACGUCCGUAUCUAGACAAAUUCAGGACAAGUAAUUCGGAACGGAGGGAGUACUUAGCUGACCACUUUGUCCAUCUAAUAUUUGUGGCAGAUAGUGGGGCGCGAUGUUCCACCAUGGUUUGUUCAUUUUUUUUUUGUAAAUGCAGUGACCACCCUUAGAGAAUUUUGGAAACAUAAAGUAGUCCCCUCAUUGUACAAUAACACUGUAUUUCACAGUAUUCUUAAAUUUAGGUUGUUAAUACACUCCUCACAUUUUUUCCAUGACAUGGAUAUGUUCAGAAGAGUAAAAUGACCUCAGCAAUGUAAAGUAGAUUAAAAUGGGCAUAAUACUCACGAUUCAUAUACUUUGCAUGACUAGUCCAAUGUCUGCCAGCAAGUGUUGUGUUAUGCAAAUUUCUAGUAAAUGAUGCAAUAAACAAUUUCCUCAUGUUUUAUUGCUAAGCUUUUUGGUAAACUGUCAACAUUGCCUUAGAAUAUUUUUUGUUAAUCUGAUGUGUUUCAAGUAACUAGAAUCGGGGCAAUGAAAGUGCUAGUGCUUUGAAGUUAUGUUCUUCUACAGCUCUGCACAUAUAUUUCUGCGAGUCAUUUCAUUGCUUAAAAAUUUGAAGGAAUGCUAAAUUUAUUACUUGAUGGCUUAUACCUGCACUUAGUGUUAUAUUUCUACAUGCACGUUACUUCUAGAUGCUUGGAGGCAUGAAGUCAUGCUCGAAAUUCCAUAGUGCCUUAACCAUCAAUGGCAACAUAAUUAUCAAAUAAAGUUCACAGAUAAACUUACAAAACACAUCAAGUCUUUGAUGUUUUUGAGCUAGUCCCGUCGCCAGUUUUUUCACUCAAAAUAUGGGGCACGUACACAACUUGUUUCGAGUAGUAGUAUUCUUCUUUUUCCUUUUCAUGUCUUAGCUUAGAAAGACCACUCUAAUGGUAGGUCAACAAAAAGUCUAGCAUAAAAUCUAUAUUGGCCAUAUUGAUUAGUAUUUUUCCUCAAAAUCUGCCUUGCAUACAGUAUACUGACAUGCAAUAGCCACUCCCCACUUCCGGCAAGGUGCUGGAUCUAGCCAGGCCGAUGUGCCGAACAGUUCAUCAAUUAAGAGCUCUGCGCGGUCGCGCGGAUGUGUUAGGGCUGAAGUUUUCCUUCACAGUUUGUAUUCUUGUUGCUUGAAAUCUCCAUCAGGUGCACAGCAACGAAAAAACCUCAAAAAAUAACAGAAUUUUCUUUAGGAAGCAGGCUGCAAAACGUGGGAAAGUGUCCAGUUCAAGAGAAAAUUCCUUAUUUGACACUGUCUUAAAAUCUAGCUCCUUAUUUGACACUGGAAAAGUUUUUCUUUCUUAUUUGACACUAGUCCUAAAUUUUAUUCCCUAUAUGACACUUCCGUCCAUUUUAAGUCUAAAUGACACCUGAAAAGACGAGUUUGCCCCUCAUGCGGUAUGUGUGUGUGUGUGCGCGUGUGUGUUGGUGCGUGUGUGGGUGCACGCGCACAUGUGUGCUGCUGCUGCAUGUGUGUAUGUGCAUGUGUGUUUGCUUCUGCGUGUGUACGUGCGUGUGUGUGUGCUGUUGCGUGCCUAUGUGCUGCCUGCGUGUGUGCUGCUACUGUGUGUGUGCUGCGUGCGUGUGUUGCUGCGUGUGUGUGUGUGUGUGCAUGUGUGUUGCUGCGUAUGUGUGUGUGUGUGUGUGUGUGUGUGUGUGUGCACACGCGCGCGUGUGUGUUGUUGCGUGUGUGUUGGUGCAUGUGUAUGUGUUGCUGCGUGUGUGCUCCUGCCCUCGCACUGAUGCUGUGUGUGUGCGCUAUUGUCCCCACACACAUACCACAUGAGGGACAAAAGAGUCUUUUCAGGUGUUAUUUAGGCUUAAAAUGGAUGGAAAUGUCAUAUAAGUAAUAAAAUUUAGAACUUGUGUCAAAUAGGGAAGAAAGACUUUUCCAGUGUCAAAUAAGGAAGCAGAUUUUAAGAUAGUGUCAAAUAAGGAAUUUUCUCCCAGUUCAAAGCAUUGAUGCAUGCUCUAGUGUCCGUUAUCUAUAAUUUUUUAUUUGUUUAACAAUUCCAUAUCGUUCUCCUAAACGUACAGGUCUCUAUUUUUACCAAACUAAACAAUUGAAAAUUGCGUAUCUUUCUCUUGAACAUACAGGUACAUGCCUUCUUUUGCUGUCAAGUAUCAUUACACAUGAUAAUUAAUACAGAUCUACAUGAAACUUAUACGUAGCAGAUAUUAUGUUAUUCAGUUUUUACAUUUGUUACAAUUCUCUUCUAUUUAUUUAUAUCUAACAUAUCGAAUGGUCUUGUAAAUAUGCUAGGUAUGAUUGCAUAGUGGGCUACUUGGUGGUGCCAAUAACAAUCAACAUGACAUAUGCAUAGUGUCCAUCAGGAGGGCCGACGACAAGAUGAAUAAUAACUUCAGUAGUUUAAUUGUUCUCUUUGUGUGAGCUGGAUUGUACUGUUUCCUAACUUUGUUGAGUGAUAUUUUGUCAACCUAUAUUGUAAAAUUACCAUUUCCUGAAGGAUCUUGUAAACUUCUAUAUUGUAAAUACCUGCGGAUGAUUGCAUAUUGAUUCAUAUAUGUAUGUAUGAAACUUUGAAAAUACUUUGUCUUGG